rnacentral:tRNA from 1 species
GUCCUAGUAGCUUACAUUUAACAAAGCAUUAGUCUUGUAAACUAAAGACGGAAUACAAUCCCAAGGACA